UCCCCGUUAACCGGGGCAGUCCCCCUAGAGCUUUUCCCUGCAUGUCAAACCCAGGUAAGGUUCUUCGCGUAACAUCGAAUUAAGCAACACGCUCCGCUGCUUGUGCGGGCCCCCGUCAAUUCCUUUGAGUUUUAGCCUUGCGGCCGUACUCCCCAGGCGGGGCACUUAAUGCGUUAGCGACGGCGCGGAUCUCGUUGGUUGAGACCCACACCUAGUGCCCAACGUUUACGGCGUGGACUAC
rnacentral:misc_RNA from 1 species